UACGUAGGGUGCGAGCGUUAAUCGGAAUUACUGGGCGUAAAGCGUGCGCAGGCGGCUUUGCAAGACAGAUGUGAAAUCCCCGGGCUCAACCUGGGAACUGCAUUUGUGACUGCAAGGCUAGAGUACGGCAGAGGGGGAUGGAAUUCCGCGUGUAGCAGUGAAGUGCGUAGAUAUGCGGAGGAACACCAAUGGCGAAGGCAAUCCCCUGGGCCUGUACUGACGCUCAUGCACGAAAGCGUGGGGAGCAAACAGG
rnacentral:rRNA from 1 species